rnacentral:snRNA from 1 species
GGAUGUGAGGGCAAUCUGGCUGUGACAUCUGUCACCCUAUUGAUCGCCAGGGUUGAUUCGGCUGAUCUGGCUGGCUAGGCAGGUGUCCCCUUCCUCCCUCAAUGAUCCAUGUGCGUCCCUCCCAAAGCUGCGCACUCGGUCGAAGAGGACGACCACCCCCAAUAGAGGAGGACCAUUCCUUGGUCAUGGGUAUACGAGUAGCUGCGACCCCCUGCUAGAACCUCCAAACAAGCUCUCAAGAUGCGGACAUGACUCUAUUAGAACAAAUCCCUCUAUUCAUUAAGAGAAUGUAACUAUAUAUCUAUCCUAACCAUUUUGAACACACAUACAAAAUGGACAUUCAUCUGUAUCCCCUUUUUU